GGGAAAUGGGGUGAGGGGCCAGCCCCGGGCCCAAAACAAGCCAUAUGGGGGU
rfam:Papio anubis isolate 1X1155 chromosome 9, whole genome shotgun sequence.